GAACACGUCUGACGAGAAGUGACGCUAUAUAAGAGGCGGCCCUAGUGCCGCGACCAGUCCCUCCUCGGCUGCAACAUGCUCAAGUCCGUGCUGGUGGUGCUGGUUGCUGUGGCGCUGGUCGCCGUGCAGAGCGAGGAGGCUGACAAGCCACGCGCCAGCUACGGCUCGGUGCAGGACGGGGGCUUCUACCAGUCUGGCCACGCAGGAGUGUCGCCGGACAACUACGGCAACUCGGGCCCGGCGGAGGCCAAGCCACCACUCCCAACUACUGACUAGAGAUGAACCGCCCUUCAGUUUCCUGGAUGUUCACUCGGUGUUCACUCACCGUGCGAUUAUCUUCCACACUUGUAAAAUGUAAAUGCAUAACCCAUGUAAUUUGAUAAAAUAUAAAAACCAGUAAACAUAAAAACAAACCUGUA